UACAGAGGUCUCAAGCGUUGUUCGGAUUCAUUGGGCGUAAAGGGUGCGUAGGCGGCGCGGUAAGUCGGGUGUGAAAUCUUGAAGCUUAACUCCGAAACUGCAUUCGAUACUGCCGUGCUUGAGGACUGGAGAGGAGACUGGAAUUUACGGUGUAGCAGUGAAAUGCGUAGAGAUCGUAAGGAAGACCAGUGGCGAAGGCGGGUCUCUGGACAGUUCCUGACGCUGAGGCACGAAGGCCAGGGGAGCAAACGGG
rnacentral:rRNA from 1 species